rnacentral:rRNA from 1 species
UACAGAGGGUGCGAGCGUUAAUCGGAAUUACUGGGCGUAAAGCGUGCGUAGCCGGUUAUUUAAGUCGGGUGUGAAAGCCCCGGGCUCAACCUGGGAAUUGCAUUCGAGACUGAAUAGCUAGGGUACGGUAGAGGGGGAUGGAAUUCCGCGUGUAGCAGUGAAAUGCGUAGAUAUGCGGAGGAACACCGAUGGCGAAGGCAAUCCCCUGGACCUGUACUGACGCUCAUGCACGAAAGCGUGGGGAGCAAACAGG